rnacentral:rRNA from 1 species
GACGAACGCUGGCGGCGUGCUUAACACAUGCAAGUCGAACGAUGAAGCUGGAGCUUGCUCUGGUGGAUUAGUGGCGAACGGGUGAGUAACACGUGAGUAACCUGCCCUGGACUCUGGGAUAACCCCGAGAAAUCGGAGCUAAUACCGGAUAGGACCUUGCACCGCAUGGUGUGGGGUGGAAAGUUUUUCGGUCUGGGAUGGACUCGCGGCCUAUCAGCUUGUUGGUGAGGUAAUGGCUCACCAAGGCGUCGACGGGUAGCCGGCCUGAGAGGGUGACCGGCCACACUGGGACUGAGACACGGCCCAGACUCCUACGGGAGGCAGCAGUGGGGAAUAUUGCACAAUGGGCGCAAGCCUGAUGCAGCAACGCCGCGUGCGGGAUGACGGCCUUCGGGUUGUAAACCGCUUUUAGUAAGGAAGGAGGGGCUUCGGCCUUGACGGUACUUGCAGAAAAAGGACCGGCUAACUACGUGCCAGCCGCCGCCGUAAGAC